rnacentral:rRNA from 1 species
GCGCCGGGCAGCCACGCCGUACGGGGAUAACCGCUGAAGGCAUCUAAGCGGGAAGCCCUCCCCGAGACGAGGCGGCCGCUCUCGGCCGUUGGGGCCCGGCGACGGGUCCCGUGGCCGAGACAAGGGCUCCCGUAGAAGACGGGGUUGAUGGGGUGGCGGUGUAAGCGCCGAGGGCCUCUGGCCCGAGGCGUGAGCCGGCCACUCCCAAUCGCCCGAG